rnacentral:rRNA from 1 species
CACCAGCGCCACGAGUGGCAACCAUGAUUAUUGGGCCUAAAGCGUUCGUAGCCGGUUUGAUAAAUUUUUUGUGAAAUUGUCUGGCUCAACCAGACAACGUGCAAGAAAGACUGUCAAACUUGAGACCGGGAGGAGCUAGGAGUAUUCAUGGGGGAGCGGUAAAAUGUUAUAAUCCCUUGAAGACUACCUGUGGCGAAGGCGCCUAGCUAGAACGGAUCUGACGGUGAGGGACGAAAGCCAGGGGAGCGAUCCGG